rnacentral:rRNA from 1 species
GACACGGACCCAGGCCCUAUGGGGCGCAGCAGGCGAGAAAACUUUGCAAUGUGCGAAAGCACGACAAGGUUAAUCCGAGUGAUUUGUGCUAAACGAAUCUUUUGUUAGUCCUAGAAACACUAACAAAUAAGGGGUGGGCAAGUUCUGGUGUCAGCCGCCGCGGUAAAACCAGCACCUCAAGUGGUCAGGAUGAUUAUUGGGCCUAAAGCAUCCGUAGCCGGCUCUGUAAGUUUUCGGUUAAAUCUGUACGCUUAACGUACAGGCUGCCGGGAAUACUGCAGAGCUAGGGAGUGGGAGAGGUAGACGGUACUCGGUAGGAAGUGGUAAAAUGCUUUGAUCUAUCGAUGACCACCUGUGGCGAAGGCGGUCUACCAGAACACGUCCGACGGUGAGGGAUGAAAGCUGGGGGAGCAAACCGGAUUAGAUACCCGGGUAGUCCCAGCUGUGAACUAUGCAAACUCAGUGAUGCAUUGGCUUGUGGCCAAUGCAGUGCUGCAGGGAAGCCGUUAAGUUUGCCGCCUGGGAAGUACGUACGCAAGUAUGAAACUUAAAGGAAUUGGCGGGGGAGCACCACAAGGGGUGAAGCCUGCGGUUCAAUUGGAUUCAACGCCGGG